GGACGGGCUGUGGGUGAAGCUCUGCGACACGUCGCAGUCGUCCAGCACCGUCAUGUCCUGCAGCGUGGUCAGAGUCGCUCCCCAGGUCUUCUUCACCUGAAGGAAACACAUUUUAAAGGGACGCCAGGCGGGUCUGGAGCUGAGUGAGGCGCAGCGACAGCUCAGCCUGGACCUGCGGCUGGGAGGCGAUCUGGGUCGUCUGACAGGAAGCGAAACGUCACCAACACAAGAAGCAAAAACUGCAGAUCCUCAGCGCUGCGGUGGGCAGAAGGCAGUGGGGUAGAGGCCCAGCAGACGCUGCCUGUCGCGGGCCGGGUCCAGGUUCUCCACAGCCCCCUCCAGAACCUCCAGGCCCGCCCGCCUGGAGGCUUCAAGGCUCAGUUCGGCUGAUAGCUAAAGUGCAGCGACUGCCAGCAGCUCUGAGCCGAGGACCUCCAUCACAUCCGGCGCCGCUCGCCGGACAGACGCCCAGCAGAGCCGGCCGCCCCGGUGGCCAUGGCGACGCAGACGAGCCGCGCCCGCCGGGAACGGGAUUCAUCCAUCGUGGGAUUCAAGACGGUUUAGUCACUCACCCUUUUCAGGAGCCGAGCCGAAUCCUCGCUGAUGUGCGUCAGACGGCUGAUGACGUUGUUCAGCGCUCUGCGAGCUUCUCCAGGUUCCUGGAAUACUCCGUUUCGAUCUCGGCCUUCUUCCUGAAGAAGUCCUGCAGGUCCUGAAGCAGCUGCACCCGCAUCUCCGUCUGCUGCUCCAGGCAGCGCUGCUGCUCCACCAACUGGACCCGCACAUCUGCAGCACAACCCAAAACACGACCCUGAGCGAUUUGAUGGUGAGCAUCAGUUUUCAAGUCUUGCAACGGAUUCUUAGGUCUGGACUUUGACUAGGCCGUUCCAACCCAAGCAUCUAAGCAUCCAGUAACAUCUCUGGCUGUAUGUUUAGAGCAGCUUCAUAUUAUUGCUGAAAUUGAUGAGGCACAAGUCUUUUGGCUCAUCAAGGACUUGAAGCUGAAAUGUUACGCUGCAGAGAGGAAGACCUUCAGGACGUCAGAGUUUCCUCUGGGACGGCGAAGAAUCACCGGAGCAGAGCUUGAUCAACGCUGGCAGCAGAAAGCCUUUUUUAUUCGCCGUUAUGCAGACGACUCUGAUUUAUUUCUGCUCAUCCUCCGUCGGACUUCGCCUCGUUUCCUAGAAGACAUCAAAGCUUCGGGAGCCAUGAAUUUUCUGAGCUUUAAUAAAAAGAAAACAGGCAGUGGAUGACCUGGACAGUGCGGUGGAAGAAACCGAUGAUACGCGCUCAGCUUGUUCAUCAUGAGAGUAUCAGGAGGAUGUUUUCCCCCCUGACAGUCCGGUAGAUUCAGUUUGAUUGAGAUCAAAACUUCAACACUUCCAGCUGCUGUGGCUCUGAGUCAAACCAACCUGUUCCCCUCCUGGCCUGUGGGGGCGCUGCACCAACAACCACUGAAGGAAACGACUCUGAGAGCAACUUCCUUCUUCACCAGACGCAUCAAAUUUUAGAGAAUGCCCUGCUCUGUAGCGGUCUCCAGUUCGCUUGGCGUUCACAGAUGCAUUGGAACCGAACCAAGUUCACUUCAACUGAACCGAGACCGAGGUUGGUAGGUGGAGCAGAGUUAGCUUAGCAUUCACACCUCAAGAAACGGACCGGACUUUUUAGACAAACGGACCGGAACAUGAGUAACAUGAAGGCAACCUAAAGCUCAUGUUUCCAGAAUAUGAUGUCAAAAACAAUCAUUUGGAACCAGACCCUUAAAAAUCCUCCAACCAGGAGUUUCUGUCCUCGUAACUGGAACCAAGCAGUAAACGAUAGAUGUGUCCUUUGUAGAAAACUCCUCUCCUCCGGGUUUAUUUCAGGGUCUGCCCACGCCGGUGCUCAGUCAGUACAUUUCUCCCUGAGGUUGCUCCUGUUUCCCCGCUUCCUGACAGAGCGAUUGUAAUAAAGCAAGGAUCAAACACGGAUCAUGUCAGAUCGUAUAAUCUGGGCGCAAAGUGAAGAAGGGUUUUAAGAACUUCGCUGAUCCUCCCCUGAAAUCCCUGCAUUUCUCCCAAAACAGACAUUAAACACUUUAAUCGCCAUCGCAGGCUUUGGAAAGAGGCAGAGCAGCAGCAGCAGGUUUAUUCUCUGCUGCUGUAAAUUAGCUGCGACUCCGAUAACAAACACAAAGAACUGAAACUGUAAUCGAAGCCGUCUGAGUCCGAAAGCCUCGUCAGGAAACAGUCAAAAGGUUCUGAGCAGUUUUAAUAAAAAAAACUAAUUUACGAGUUAUUUUGUCUUUAGUAAGGCAACAAAUCAAACAUCUAAACUGGACAUUUUUGUUUUUGUAAGAGAAAUAUUGAUUUUUUUCACCUUCAACAAAAAGCAGAGCAGGUGACAUAAUAUUUACUGAACAGCAACGCAGAUUCAGUUUUCAAAGAAUGCUUGAAAGACCUUUGCUUCUCGUUUAUUAAAAUCUUUCUGCAGCUUU